GAUGAAGAACGCAGCGAAAUGCGAUAAGUAAUGUGAAUUGCAGAAUUUAGUGAAUCAUCGAAUCUUUGAACGCAUAUUGCGCCCGCCAGCACUCUGGCGGGCAUGCCUGUUCGAGCGUCAUUUCAACCCUCAGGCCUCGCGUCUGGCGUUGGGGCGCUGCGGCCCUCCCGCAGGCCCCCAAAUUUAGCGGCGGAUUCCCCGCGGCCCUGAGCGCAGUAGAGAGUAAAAACUUUAACGCUCCGGCGGCCGUGGCGCGGUUCUGCCUCUUUCCCAAUAGCGCCAAUAGCGCCACCCCCAAAAAAGUUGACCUCGGAUCAGGUAGGACUACCCGCUGAACUUAAGCAUAUCAAUAAUCGGAGGA
rnacentral:misc_RNA from 1 species